rnacentral:rRNA from 1 species
AGUGAACGCUGGCGGUAGGCCUAACACAUGCAAGUCGAACGGCAGCACAGUAAGAGCUUGCUCUUACGGGUGGCGAGUGGCGGACGGGUGAGGAAUACAUCGGAAUCUACUUUUUCGUGGGGGAUAACGUAGGGAAACUUACGCUAAUACCGCAUACGACCUACGGGUGAAAGCAGGGGAUCUUUGGACCUUGCGCGAUUGAAUGAGCCGAUGUCGGAUUAGCUAGUUGGCGGGGUAAAGGCCCACCAAGGCGACGAUCCGUAGCUGGUCUGAGAGGAUGAUCAGCCACACUGGAACUGAGACACGGUCCAGACUCCUACGGGAGGCAGCAGUGGGGAAUAUUGGACAAUGGGCGCAAGCCUGAUCCAGCCACACCGCGUGGGUGAAGAAGGCCUUCGGGUUGUAAAGCCCUUUUGUUGGGAAAGAAAAGCAGCAGGUUAAUACCCCGCUGUUCUGACGGUACCCAAAGAAUAAGCACCGGCUAACUUCGUG